GAACUCUGGUAUUGAUUGGUGCUUGCAUCAUGAUUUACAUUUGAGUGAGUGGCGAACUGGUGAGUAACACGUGGGAAACCUGCCCAGAAGCGGGGGAUAACACCUGGAAACAGAUGCUAAUACCGCAUAACAACUUGGACCGCAUGGUCCGAGCUUGAAAGAUGGCUUCGGCUAUCACUUUUGGAUGGUCCCGCGGCGUAUUAGCUAGAUGGUGGGGUAACGGCUCACCAUGGCAAUGAUACGUAGCCGACCUGAGAGGGUAAUCGGCCACAUUGGGACUGAGACACGGCCCAAACUCCUACGGGAGGCAGCAGUAGGGAAUCUUCCACAAUGGACGAAAGUCUGAUGGAGCAACGCCGCGUGAGUGAAGAAGGGUUUCGGCUCGUAAAACUCUGUUGUUAAAGAAGAACAUAUCUGAGAGUAACUGUUCAGGUAUUGACGGUAUUUAACCAGAAAGCCACGGCUAACUACGUGCCAGCAGCCGCGGUAAUACGUAGGUGGCAAGCGUUGUCCGGAUUUAUUGGGCGUAAAGCGAGCGCAGGCGGUUUUUUAAGUCUGAUGUGAAAGCCUUCGGCUCAACCGAAGAAGUGCAUCGGAAACUGGGAAACUUGAGUGCAGAAGAGGACAGUGGAACUCCAUGUGUAGCGGUGAAAUGCGUAGAUAUAUGGAAGAACACCAGUGGCGAAGGCGGCUGUCUGGUCUGUAACUGACGCUGAGGCUCGAAAGUAUGGGUAGCAAACAGGAUUAGAUACCCUGGUAGUCCAUACCGUAAACGAUGAAUGCUAAGUGUUGGAGGGUUUCCGCCCUUCAGUGCUGCAGCUAACGCAUUAAGCAUUCCGCCUGGGGAGUACGGCCGCAAGGCUGAAACUCAAAGGAAUUGACGGGGGCCCGCACAAGCGGUGGAGCAUGUGGUUUAAUUCGAAGCUACGCGAAGAACCUUACCAGGUCUUGACAUACUAUGCAAAUCUAAGAGAUUAGACGUUCCCUUCGGGGACAUGGAUACAGGUGGUGCAUGGUUGUCGUCAGCUCGUGUCGUGAGAUGUUGGGUUAAGUCCCGCAACGAGCGCAACCCUUAUUAUCAGUUGCCAGCAUUAAGUUGGGCACUCUGGUGAGACUGCCGGUGACAAACCGGAGGAAGGUGGGGAUGACGUCAAAUCAUCAUGCCCCUUAUGACCUGGGCUACACACGUGCUACAAUGGAUGGUACAACGAGUUGCGAACUCGCGAGAGUAAGCUAAUCUCUUAAAGCCAUUCUCAGUUCGGAUUGUAGGCUGCAACUCGCCUACAUGAAGUCGGAAUCGCUAGUAAUCGCGGAUCAGCAUGCCGCGGUGAAUACGUUCCCGGGCCUUGUACACACCGCCCGUCACACCAUGAGAGUUUGUAACACCCAAAGUCGGUGGGGUA
rnacentral:rRNA from 1 species